AAUCAAUAUGGCUGGCAAUGAGACCCAUAAUCCAAACUCUGUGAUCACACAGCACACCCUCGUCUGAAAAUAUUUUAUGACAGCAGUAACAGAGCCAAGCACCAGGUCUCGAAGGUCUUAUUUUCUGACUCUACGUUCCAUGGAAAUACCUGGACUAGCUAUUCCAAAAUCUCCCCCUAUGCUGUGGCAGCUACUUAUGAAAGCCCUGGGGAUCCUCACGCCAAAGAUUCUGAUUCAGUAGGUUUAAGGUGGGGACAGAGAAAUUUGUAUUUCUGUCACCCAAAAUUGAGGCUGUCACCCCUAAACUACCACUAUUCAUAUAAAAGUGUGCAUUAAUAAUAAAAAAAGAUUGGCUUCAUUAUUGAAAUAAAAAUCAGAGGCGACUACUCAUAGGAAAUCCAAUCUGCUCAGAGGUAAUAAAAUAAAACAGUUAAGUUAUAUUAGAUUUAAUUUCCCCCUUACCUCUGGAUGCCGUAGUUUUAUUUAUCUGAGUGCCUAUCCUGUAUAUAUGAGUUCAAAUGUUUGAAUAAAAUUUACAAGUGAU
rnacentral:lncRNA from 10 species